rnacentral:rRNA from 1 species
GAUGAACGCUGGCGGCGUGCCUAAUACAUGCAAGUCGAGCGAACCACUUCGGUGGUGAGCGGCGAACGGGUGAGUAACACGUAGGUUAUCUGCCCAUCAGACGGGGACAACGAUUGGAAACGAUCGCUAAUACCGGAUAGGACGAAAGUUUAAAGGUGCUUCGGCACCACUGAUGGAUGAGCCUGCGGCGCAUUAGCUAGUUGGUAGGGUAAAGGCCUGCCAAGGCGACGAUGCGUAGGCGACCUGAGAGUGUGAACGGCCACACUGGGACUGAGACACGGCCCAGACUCCGACGGGAGGCAGCAGUAGGGAAUCUUCGGCAAUGGGCGAAAGCCUGACCGAGCAACGCCGCGUGAAUGAUGAAGGCCUUCGGGUUGUAAAAUUCUGUUAUAAGGGAAGAAUGGCUCUAGUAGGAAAUGGCUAGAGUGUGACGGUACCUUAUGAGAAAGCCACGGCUAACUACGUGCCAGCAGCCGCAGUAA